GAUUGCCGCUGAAACUCUUGUUCACCAGCAGACCAAUCUGGACAGGUUCUUAGCAUUUUCUCCCCAACAACACCCUAUUGUUCUCCAACUCGGUGGUAGCAAUGUGGAAAACCUUGCUAAGGCUGCUAAGCUUUCUAAUGCUUACGGAUACGACGAAAUCAAUCUCAACUGCGGCUGCCCCAGUCCUAAGGUUGCCGGCCAUGGA